CAUUAUACCAAUAAUACCAAUUUGUACUGUUAUUUAGUGCUCAAUACAGCCUUCACAUCAACAGAGGACUUUUACAAAAAUGAGGACAAUUGCCCUUACUGCAAUGUUGCCACAGUGGCAACCGGAGACCAUCUAAAUAAGGUCCAUUUAAAAUAUGCAGUGUGCUUCAGAGACAAUGCAGUUGACACUUUUAGUACACCCUGUCACUGUGAGGUGAAGCUGGCACAAAGGAUCUAUUAGCACUGUCCCAAGUGCCAAUCCGUCAUACAAAGAAAAUAUUCUUUUGAAAAACAUCUGAAAACACAUGGGUUGAUUAUUCAGAGUAAGACACUCCUCCCAGAUUUGUUAUCUGUGAAAGAGAAGCCAGCGGAAUCUGACAAACAGAACUGUAAAUCCUUUAAGUGUCCUGCAUGUGAUGCAUGUUUUUCUAGUGCACCUACAUUAAGAACACAUUUGUUGUGUUUGUCCAACACGAGUUGGACAAACACAACAAAGAAACGGAACCCAUCUACCUUGUGGAUGAAGAGAGAGGGAUUUUUGUUACAGCACAGGACAAGUCUGGACCACGGACCAUAAUUCAUGUGUCCAAGUCCUUUUCUAGGCAGGUCCUUGACUGCGAAGUACCAAGCUGCAGGGAGUUUAUGGCCAUGGGCAGAGAAUGCAUACAUUUGGACAGAUUAAAGCAUUUCAAGUACCACCAGCCACCUCCUCUGCUUCAGACUACUGUAAUUGAGGAGAUGUUCGAAAAGGGGCUGAUUUCCAGCACUACUAAACAGGAAUGCACAAACCUAAAUGACAGAGCCACACAGGAUGGGAC